GCUUGUCUCAAAGAUUAAGCCAUGCAUGUUCAAGUAUAGCAAGUGUACAGUGAAACUGCGAAUGGCUCAUUAAAUCAGUUAUAAUUUAUUUGAUAGUGAAAUUGUACAUGGAUAACCGUGGCAAUUCUAGGGCUAAUACAUGCGAAAAGUCCUGACUUCUUCGUGAGGGAGGGAUGUAUUUAUUAGAUACAAUCAAACGCACCAACAUAAAACCUUGGUGAUUCAUAAUAACUGUUCGGAUCGUAUGGCUUUUUGCCGACGACAGAUCAUUCAAAUUUCUGCCCUAUCAGCUUUCGACGGUACUGUAGUGGACUACCGUGGCAUUAACGGGUGACGGAGAAUUAGGGUUCGAUUCCGGAGAGGGAGCCUGAGAAAUGGCUACCACAUCCAAGGAAGGCAGCAGG
rnacentral:rRNA from 1 species